rnacentral:rRNA from 1 species
UACGUAGGGCGCAAGCGUUAUCCGGAAUUAUUGGGCGUAAAGAGCUCGUAGGCGGUUUGUCGCGUCUGCCGUGAAAAUCCAGGGCUUAACCCUGGACCUGCAGUGGGUACGGGCAGACUAGAGUGCGGUAGGGGAGAUCGGAAUUCCUGGUGUAGCAGUGAAAUGCGCAGAUAUCAGGAGGAACACCGGUGGCGAAGGCGGAUCUCUGGGCCGUAACUGACGCUGAGGAGCGAAAGCAUGGGGAGCGAACAGG